AGGACGAACGCUGGCGGCGUGCCUAACACAUGCAAGUCGAACGAGGUCCAUCCGGUGGCAACACCGGUGAAGAUCUAGUGGCGAACGGGUGCGGAACACGUGAGCAACCUGCCCCGAAGACCGGGAUAACAGCGGGAAACUGCUGCUAAUACCGGAUGUCCCCACCGGUCCCGCAUGGGACUGUGAGGAAAGGAUUCCGCUUCGGGAGGGGCUCGCGGCCUAUCAGCUUGUUGGUGAGGUAACGGCUCACCAAGGCGACGACGGGUAGCUGGUCUGAGAGGACGAUCAGCCACACUGGGACUGAGACACAGCCCAGACUCCUACGGGAGGCAGCAGUGGGAAUCUGCGCAAUGGGCGAAAGCCUGACGCAGCAACGCCGCGUGGGGGAUGAAGGCCUUCGGGUUGUAAACCCUUUCAGUGGGAACGAAUUGACGGUACCACAGAAGAAGCCCGGCCAACUACGUGCCAGCAGCCGCGGU
rnacentral:rRNA from 1 species